GACGAACGCUGGCGGCGUGCUUAACACAUGCAAGUCGAACGGAAAGGCUCCAGCUUGCUGGAGUACUCGAGUGGCGAACGGGUGAGUAACACGUGGGGAAUCUGCCCUUCACUCUGGGAUAAGCCUUGGAAACUGGGUCUAAUACUGGAUAUGACCUUUCUCCUCAUGGGGUUUGGUGGAAAGUUUUUCGGUGUAGGAUGAGCCCGCGGCCUAUCAGCUUGUUUGUGGGGUGAUGGCCUACCAAGGCGACGACGGGUAGCCGGCCUGAGAGGGUGAUCGGCCACAUUGGGACUGAGGUACGGCCCAGACUCCUACGGGAGGCAGCAGUGGGGAAUAUUGCACAAUGGGCGGAAGCCUGAUGCAGCGACGCCGCGUGAGGGAUGACGGCCUUCGGGUUGUAAACCUCUUUCAGCAGGGACGAAGCGUAAGUGACGGUACCUGCAGAAGAAGCACCGGCUAACUACGUG
rnacentral:rRNA from 1 species